rnacentral:lncRNA from 1 species
UUUUUUUUUUUUUUGGUUAGAAUGCAAAAUAAUUUCAUUGGGGGGUUCAUAAUCAUAACAACAAAGCAUGGUUCCUGUAUAAAUAUAAUUUCUUUUCUCCAUGAUUGCACGUAAAAUUCAUCCAACUUGGAAAGUGCAGAGAGUAAAAGACUCACUAUAAAUGCUGGCCUCGGGGAAUCUAUGCUUCCUACAAGAUUUAAGGUAGAAAUAUUCAGAGGCCAUGUUACUCAAACAAGACCCAACCAUUUUUUGUUGUUAGUUUCUUUCCUUUUCUUUUCUGCAGAAUAUUACCUAAAGGUAGCUCUAAGCACUAAGGGAUUGAGCUUUCUAUUUAGUCUACAAGAGAACUAACAGGGUUUUUUUUUUCCUACCUGUAGGUAUCAACUUGGGAUUUCAGUUAGCUAAGCAGCUUUGGACCUAGAAUAAAACACUUAAUGGACCAAGGAAAAUGUAGGCAGUAAAAAACCCUGCAGACUGUGGCCUUUAUUUACUUACUUACUUAUUUGUUUAUAAAACAUACUUUAUUUUUUUUAGUUUUAGAUUUACCAAAAAAAAAGAAAAGGUAAUAUAAGUGAUAUCAUAUGGUAUUUGUCUUUCUCUUUCUGACUUACUUCUAGUCAGAAGUCUCUGAUUUCAUACAUGUGGCUGCAAAUGGCAUUAUUUCGUUCUUUUUUAUGCCUCAUGCUCUUCUUAUAUGUGAAUGUAAUAAAAACUAUGCAUUAUUAUAUUGUUCUUUUCCUACUGAGCCUGUUCUUACUGUAUCCCAAUAAUUACUGUAGGCAGAGGAACAGAUACUUAAUAUUUUAAAUUUAGGAGAGGAAAUCUAGGGUACUUCCCUAGUAACACCAUCCCAGCUUGGCUUAAGAGAAUGAGAAAGUCUCUGAGUGACAAAACACAAGGGGAGCUGGGCAAUAGGCAACCUCUGGUGGAGUUUGACCCUCUGGGGAGGACUACUGGUCAGGUAAAUGGUGGCAUCUCUAAAAGGAAACCAGCACUAAAUCUGGAACUGUUUCUAAGGGUCAAGGAUAUUAGUAAAGAGUUGUUUAAUGUUGUCAAAUGUUUAAACCUCUGCUCUUUGAAGUAAAGGGCUGGGCUAAAUAAUCUUUAAAGUUUCCUCUCAGCUGUGGUAUUAUAUGAGGCUGAGAUAAAAGAAGUGCUUUAUAUGAGAGAAAAAAUUCUUAUCAGCCUGGAUUCCUUGACUUGUGUCUUAUAGCAAAAAUUGCAAAUAUAGAAUUUGUUUUCAGCCAUAUUUAUUCCAAGACAAUAAAAAAAAGAGAAAUUUGAAGCAACUGUAAAAGUUUUUCCAAAAAUGUUAUGGCUUAUAUGCAGAAGACAUAAAUUUAAACUUUUUUUUUUUNUUUUUUUUUUUUUUUUUUUUUUUUUUUUGCUAUUUCUUCUACCAGUAGCUCUGAGUAAUAUUAGCCUGAGGGUUCUCUAUUCUCCCUUGCUAUUUUUCUAUCUCCUUUUCCUAUUAGGCUUAUAAACAAAUUCUGAAACUUUGUUUCUUGUCUCCCAAUACCCUGACUAUGCAACAGGGAGCACUAGAAAAAGACUUAACUGACUAACUUAAAGUUACCCUGAGGAUGUUUGUACACUUCUCUUUUAUUUUGUCCUUAGAUUGGCUUUAGGAAUAUGCAAUCUAUGCUUCUACAAUAUAGUUAGGGGCAGCAGAGGUACUGUAUGUAUGAUUUGUACUUGUACCUGUUUCCCAAUUCCAUCUGUUUUUAAUAUAUUCUCUUGAUAAAAUUUUAUCCUUUCUUUCCAGUCAGGCUUUUGCCUGAUUUGAUAGAGAGUCCCUCUGGCUCAUGUUGAAAUUGAAAUGUAUGAUAUCUUAUUGUUUGCCCAUAUACCCAGAUGUCCAGGCACUGAGUUUACUUUUAUAAAUGAAAUAUUGAAAACAAACAUAAAGCUAUGGAGAUGCAGUUGCAAAGGACAGAAGCAACAUUACUCUAUUAGAAAUGGUCAGCAUAAGACUGGAAGCUUCUAUAUCUCAGGCAGCAUAUCCAUGGGCGUCCCUGAACACAUCCCUAGUAACACUUUUCUCUUUCCCUGAACAUUUCACACGAUCUAGGCACCAAACUAUCAGUGCCAAAAAGUAGUACACAGGUGUUGUAUAGGCAAAAACAAACAGACAGAGCUAGAUCUGGAUUAAACUCAGUUCUGCCAUUUACAAGCUUGACUUUGGUAAAGCAUGUAAGUAUCUGAACCUCACUUUUCUUGCCUUAAUUUUAAUGCUUCCAUCAUGGAAACAUGGCAAAGACGAAAUGCACAGUAGGGACAGAAGAAGUAGGCAAUAUCACAGGCCCUAGGACUUCAGUAGUAAAUAGGAAAGACACUAUCCCCAGCUUUAUAGACUUUGCAGUCCAGUGGGGAGCUACAGCCCAUAGAUGAGCAAUUAGAAUAUACUUGAUAGAUGGGGCUGGGGGAGGGCAUGUAGGAGGGAGAAGUAAACCAGACAGAGUGAUUACGGAAGUUUGCUGAAUGAAGACAGUGACAUUUAAGCUGUUAAUUAAAAGCUGGGUAAAGAAUACCCAUGUAUGUAUAAAGACUCUAGCAUUUGCCUGGUGCAUUAUAGACAUUCAGUAAAUUGCAUUUCUCUUCCCCAUUCCUUCUGCUAUGUCCCCUGAACCCCUCCAAACAGAUCAUCCAAACAGAGUUUCAUUCAUUGAUUUAAAAACAUUUACUGAGCACCUGACAAAUGCCAGACUUAGUGCUAGUGACUAGAGGUAUGUCCAUGAAAAGGGGAGAAAUUCUGCCCUUUAACAGUUUACUGUUGGAUGUAGUCAGUUCAAUACACCAAACCCAAGAGACCAUGAUAUACAUUCUGGAAUGCAUAAGUAAGUUUCAUCCAUUGGGCUUUUAAGAAAGAACCUGAACAGACCCCAAAUUUAGACAGCCACUCCAGGAAACAUCAGGGCUGGAACAUUUGGCUUAAUGCACUGACAACCUAAGUUUUGAUCUGCGCCUUUAGAUUAUUUCUUUUAAUCAAAAAAUUUUUUAAAAAAGUCAGAAGACAUAGAAAUGACAGCUUAGACUUCCUUACUCACUCUCUUGGAAAAUAUGAGUAAAAUUCAGCUAUUGCUUAGAACCAGACCCAUUCUAGGGAGAAAGAAAGUUAAGUAAAACCUGGGGGUGAUUUUUUCAACUAUUAUUAUUAUAGCGUCUGUCCUUGAUGUUAUACAGAAAGCAGCCAUAGUGUGAAAGAUUAUGCUUUUCCUUUUAGAGGAAUACUUAUUCUGAUUUCCUAGGCAUAUUAAUUUGCUGCAAUUCACUGCAGAAGCUAAUUCUUAUUUUUUGGAAUUAAUUGAGCUGAAAGCUGGACUCAUGACAGCCCAUCCCUUCAGUCGCCAGCACAGAAGCUGAGGACAGACGGCCAUUUCAACUUUACUAGCCUGACAUCCUGCAUAAUCAAUGCACGUCAGCCACAAAGACUUUCUGCCUGUGCUCAUGCCCAUUUGCAAGUUGGCUGAGUGCCCACUCACAAAUUGGGAUGCCAGUUCCACUAGGGCACACAAGUGUCAACAAAAGAUCACUUCAAACAAGAAGCCUGCUCAGUUUUGCAAGAGCCGUCAUUUUGUUAGGGAGAGAGGAAAAAAAAAAAAGAAAAGGUUUAAGGUGGUUAAUCCCACACUGCUGACAAGUGGCUAUUUACAUCCCAUCAUACUUUUAGCCUCAAGGGACAUUUUCUUUAUUGACUUAAUGCAAUCUUCUCUAUUCUUUAAGUUUGACUUUCAAUCUCUGCAUUUCAAAUGAGGCAAAGAAGAGACAGUGUGUCAAUCCUGAGAGUCACUGGAAAUGUCCAUUCUCUUUAUUCCCAUUACAGGCAUCAGAGAUGGAGAGAGUAAGCAAAGCAUUAUCAUGUGCAUAAUGUCUCCAGACACCAAUUAGAAUGGUGAAUAGUGCACCUAACAAAAUGCAAAUACAUUCUUUAAUAUUCAAUUAAUUCAGUAAAUAUUGGUUAAGCGCCAGGCCCCCAGUAGGGAUUGGUCUCACUACCUAGAGUCUCUUCUCUUCCCUUCCAAAGGAGCCUACACACUUGCCAUCUCAUUAAUCGGUCUCACUAAAGCAUGGUGGUUCCUAUCUUAUUAAUUCCAUGCUCAAAGUGCUCUUAAGAUUUAUCACUGACUACUGAGUAAUCUCAAACAUUUACAUGAAAGCAAAGACCCCCCCCCCCGGCUAAAAUCAAGGUUUUAUUUUCAUAAAUUCUUAUAUAUUCUCAGAAAGGCUAAAUUGAUGAUCCCAAAAUGUUUUCCAUCUAUGUCUUGGAUCUCAUUUCAUCUAUAACUUUCUCUUUUUUAUUUCCCUAUUUCCACCCACUCUAAAUGUUGAAAUUCUCCUCAUCUAGGUAAAGAAAAAGUGUCUCCUUAGAUCCAACUUUUUCAAGUUCUGUUAUGUAAUAGCACAGUCCAGAUGCCUUUACAAAAAUGACUUCAUUUAAUUCUCCAUUCAAUCUUGAAAAGAAGAUAUUAUUAUAUAUUAUUAUCCCAAAUGUUCAUGCCUGUAACCAAAUUGAGAAAAGCUACUCACUGGCAAGGCAUCCAGUUGGUCAUGGGCAAUGCCAAAGCCUGAACUCAGGCUCUCCAAGUGCACUGGUCUUCCACUCUCAGGCUUACAUCUUUCUCAGGAGACUCUUCCUGACAUGAUUGUCCUCUGAAUGCUUAUAGCACUUAAUCUAUGCCAUCACUGAGAUUUUAAUUGUUAAAUAAUUUGCAUUAUAUAAACAAUUUUUUAUUUAAAACAAUUUGCCUUAUUUAAAAAUUAAAUAUUUAGUGAGCAACUCAAUAAGUUUAAUGGAAACUGAGGAUGACAAUAAUGGAGGAAAAAGAGGAGUAGGGGAAGGAAGAGAAGGAGAGCAGUCUUUUCUGAUCCCUGUAAAUGGGUCAGAAGUGUACUAAGAACAUCCAAGAUGUCACUUUGGACCAUUACUACAAAACUCAAAUGCAGAUAUUCUCCUCUCCAAAAAAUAGAUAAGGAAACUGAGGCACAAAUGGUUAAUGGACUUCAUAGAGAGUCAUUAGGUAAGAAUUCAAACCUACUCAUUCAACAAAAUAUUUGAGUGCCUGCUCUGUGCCCAGCACUGCUCAGCAAUUGCACAAAAACAAACAAAAAUUCCAGAGAAUGAGGAGCUUCGAUUCUAGUGAGAAGGCACUAGUAGUAAACAAUAAGCUUCAUUUAAAAAGAAAUAUACAGUAUUUUAGAAGAUGAGAUGGGGGGGGUGAAGAUUGAGCAGGGUAAGGAAAAUCUGAACUACCAGCAGUGGAGACUGGGUCUGUAGUUCUAAAUAGCAUGGUCAGUGUAACUUCACUGAGAAGGCAAAAUUUGAGAAAAUAUAUGCAAACUAUGUGGAUGAAGGGGAAGGGCAUUCCAGGCAGAAGGCAUCGUCACUACAAAAGUUCAAGCAGUGAGAAACUGUACCCAAAGUUAAGACAGAUAAAAAUGACAUCACUUAGAAAUUUUUGAUUUGCAAAAAGAAAUAUGUUUUCUUCACAUCCAAACCCCACCCUCCAAAGCACAACAAAUGAAAAACCCUUCUU